UACGUAGGGUGCGAGCGUUGUCCGGAAUUAUUGGGCGUAAAGAGCUCGUAGGCGGUGUGUCGCGUCGGCCGUGAAAACCUGGGGCUUAACUCUGGGCGUGCGGUCGAUACGGGCAUCACUGGAGUUCGGCAGGGGAGACUGGAAUUCCUGGUGUAGCGGUGAAAUGCGCAGAUAUCAGGAGGAACACCGGUGGGCGAAGGCGGG
rnacentral:rRNA from 1 species